rnacentral:rRNA from 1 species
UUGCGGUUAAAAAGCUCGUAGUUGGAUUUCUGUCGAAGACUGCCGGUCCGCUCUAUGAGCGUGUAUCUGGUUAGGCUUUGGCAUCCUCUUGAAGAACGCUACUGUGCUUAAUUGCAUGGUGCGGAAUUCAAGACUUUUACUUUGAGGAAAUUAGAGUGUUCACGGCAGGCAAGCGCCUUGAAUACAUUAGCAUGGAAUAAUAAUAUAGGAUCGCGAUUCUAUUUUGUUGGUUUCUAGAAUCACGAUAAUGAUUAAUAGGGAUAAUUGGGGGCAUUUGUAUUAACGCGUCAGAGGUGGAACUCUUGGAUUGCGUUACGACAAACUACUGCGAAAGCAUUUGCCAAGGAUGUUUUCAUUAAU